rnacentral:rRNA from 1 species
CCUUGUACACACCGCCCGUCAAGCCAUGGAAGUUGAGGGUACCUGAAGUCGAUCACCGCAAGGGAGGCAGCCGGCCACGGUAGGGUCAGCGACUGGGGUG